rnacentral:rRNA from 1 species
ACUCAAAGGAAUUGACGGGGGCCCGCACAAGCGGUGGAGCAUGUGGCUUAAUUCGAGGCAACGCGAAGAACCUUACCUGGGCUUGACAUGUUCAGGACCGUCCACGAAAGUGGAUUUCCCUUCGGGGCCUGAUCACAGAUGCUGCAUGGCUGUCGUCAGCUCGUGCCGUGAGGUGUUCGGUUAAGUCCGGCAACGAGCGCAACCCGUGUCGUCAGUUGCCAUCGGGUAAUGCCGGGGACUCUGGCGAGACUGCCCGUGUCAAGCGGGAGGAAGGCGCGGAUGACGUCAAGUCAGUAUGGCUCUUACGCCCAGGGCUGCACACGUGCUACAAUGGCCGGUACAGUGGGAAGCGACACCGCGAGGUGGAGCAAAUCCCCAAAACCGGCCCCAGUUCAGAUUGCAGUCUGCAACUCGACUGCAUGAAGUCGGAAUCGCUAGUAAAGGCGUAUCAGCAACGACGCCUUGAAUACGUUCCCGGGCCUUGUACACACCGCCCGU